CACAGCCAUGGCCCAGGGAAGGGUCAUUCAGUUCGAGGAGGCUGCUGGGGCCUUCUGGGGGGUGGGGUGCUCUGCUCACAAGCCACACUGUUCCCAGUGGCAGAGUCAAAAUGUGCAAGAACCAAAGGGGCUUGCUACUUUACUGGGAGAGAGGAGACGAAACAGGAAACGGGUUUCUCUCCUAAAUGCACAUAAAACCACACACCCAGCGAAUAAACCCAGGCUCCUGAGAUGACACACACCUUGCCACAUGUACACUGGGGAGAACGCCUCCCCCCUGUGCUGCUCACAGCAAGAGAUGCAUUCUCAGACUGCGGGUGGAGCGCUCUUUGCAAGCUGUCUGAGGCUCAGUUCAGCCACUAGCUCGGUGUGAUUUUCCUUUGAGCAAAAAUAAAGACGGAGCGAGUUGCAGAGAAUACGAAAGCCACGUUGAGUCUCCGUGUGGCCCACUACUGCUCAUACCAUCCUCUGUGCCUCACCGCCUCCCGGGCUCUGGUGGCCUGUGUCAGCCCCGGGAUGGAGCUGGGAGGGGGUGGGGGACAGCGGGAAACCCUGGCAGGUUGAGCACACUCAGAAAUAAGGGCGCCUUGAGUCAGGAAGUCAGUAUGGACCUUCUCUCGGUACAAAGCAGCCACUUCCCAAGAUGCUUUCUGCUGUUUUCAUUUUCGGUUUUUUUUUUUUUUUUUUUUUAAAGCAGGGAUGCUUCUCGUGCAUUGGUUCAUGCAAUUCUACCCUCUUCUGAAACCCUGUGUGACCUGAUCAUAGACUCAAGGCUCUUGGACCCAGAGCUGCCCUUAUCUGGAGAACUAGGAAGUAUGUGAUCCCUCGUCAAGACACAGCCCUCUCCUCUUUAUGCUUUAUUCUAUUGCCAGGGUCAAGUCUUGCCUGACCACACUGGGGAGGAUGUCUAAAUUUGCGCAAUGACUCUGCGUCUGGAGCCAGGGUCCCUCCCUGCUCCGGCCCCGAAAGAUCCUUCAGGAAACGGAGGAAGUAUGGACACACAGCCCAGGCAUUUGGGGGUACAGGCAAAGGAAUGCUCCAGCACGGAAGCAACCAGCUUGGGGAGCGUCUCCUGUUAGCUGGGCUUGUGGCAAAGACUCUACCCCAAAUCCUGCUGCUUCUGAACAUAUCCGCAAAAGGGAAGAGGCCAGUUUCACGAUUAUCUUUUCACCGAGAGGAAGAUGGGGCAUGAGCAGUCAUGUGCCACCGGCUAUGUGAAGGGGACUCCUGUCUAAUUGUUGCGACUCCAGCGAUGCAAGGGUCGCCUGGCCGCCCGCUGGGCGUGGAACUGGACGGCAGGCUGGCUGUUCAGGAAGGACGCGGCCUAUUGUCUACGGAGGCCUUUUAGAUAUUACCAUAGGAGCCCCAUCUGGAGUAUACAGUUGACGAGUCUAUCCACAAAUUACCCGAAAGAUGGUGAGGAGCGCCUCGUCCGGGCCCCGGCACAGUGACUCCACCUUCACUUUGGAAAACAGUAGUCUACGGCGGGGAGACAAAGGGAGA